AUUGAACGCUGGCGGCAGGCCUAACACAUGCAGGUCGAGCGGAUGAAGGGAGCUUGCUCCUGGAUUCAGCGGCGGACGGGUGAGUAAUGCCUAGGAAUCUGCCUGGUAGUGGGGGAUAACGUCCGGAAACGGGCGCUAAUACCGCAUACGUCCUGAGGGAGAAAGUGGGGGAUCUUCGGACCUCACGCUAUCAGAUGAGCCUAGGUCGGAUUAGCCAGUUGGUGGGGUAAAGGCCUACCAAGGCGACGAUCCGUAACUGGUCUGAGAGGAUGAUCAGUCACACUGGAACUGAGACACGGUCCAGACUCCUACGGGAGGCAGCAGUGGGGAAUAUUGGACAAUGGGCGAAAGCCUGAUCCAGCCAUGCCGCGUGUGUGAAGAAGGUCUUCGGAUUGUAAAGCACUUUAAGUUGGGAGGAAGGGCAGUAAGUUAAUACCUUGCUGUUUUGACGUUACCAACAGAAUAAGCACCGGCUAACUUCGUG
rnacentral:rRNA from 1 species